ACGAGCCACAUGCAGGGAAACUUGCACGUGUGGUUCUGGCCGGGGACCCCGGUAUACUGUACUAAUAUGUGUAGGUCCCUGUAAUUCGAGUGAGAUUGUCAUGGCGCAAAAGCAGAUAUGGUCCGGUAUUCCCUUGUUCCCCGUAU
rfam:Oryza nivara chromosome 1, whole genome shotgun sequence.